AAUUUCCUUUAGGGUGCGUUUGGUUCGCUCUAUCUUUUAAAGAUUUCUAGUAAUCAAAUAAGAAUAAAAAAAUAUGACGGUGUUUCGUUAAACGCACUAAGUAAUCCAGUUAGUAAUAUUGGAUUCACUUGGAAAUAAGAUUCACCAUAAAAUACUAAUCUCAUUUCCUUGAGAGAGGGUGGAUAUCCUCAUAUUAAUGGAUUUGAGUAAUCAUAAUAUGUCUAAUCUCUUUCUUUCUUCCUACCCGCCGGCUAAUUGAUAUUAUUUUUUUUUACACUCUAACCUUAUAUCUCUCUCUAAACUUUUUUUUCUCUCUAAACUAAGCUUUCUCUCUCUCUCUCUCUCUCUCUCUUUCUAAAAUUUCAACUCUCUCACUCCCUCUAAUUUCGACUAUAUUUUUCUUUCUAUUUUUUUAAUUAUGCUCUCUCUCUCUAACUUAUACUCUCUCUUCCUUUUUUCUAAAAAGAUGUUGAAACUUUUGGUAACAUUAUCUAAAAUUAAUUAAAUAAAUAAAUUAAUGAAUUGUAUAUUUUUUGUAAUAUUAAAUAAUAUGGCUAAUUAAUAUUACCAUGCGAACCAAACAUAGGAAUUCCAUAUUCUUAGUAAUAGGAUGAAUAGGAAUAAAAUUCUCGGAUAUCUUUUAUUCCUAGUAAUCUUUCAUAAUGCGAACCAAACGCACCCUUAUAGUUUUGUGG
rnacentral:lncRNA from 1 species